rnacentral:rRNA from 1 species
UACGUAGGGUGCAAGCGUUAAUCGGAAUUACUGGGCGUAAAGCGUGCGCAGGCGGUGAUGUAAGACAGGUGUGAAAUCCCCGGGCUUAACCUGGGAACUGCAUUUGUGACUGCAUCGCUGGAGUGCGGCAGAGGGGGAUGGAAUUCCGCGUGUAGCAGUGAAAUGCGUAGAUAUGCGGAGGAACACCGAUGGCGAAGGCAAUCCCCUGGGCCUGCAUUGACGCUCAUGCACGAAAGCGUGGGGAGCAAACAGG